rnacentral:rRNA from 1 species
UACGUAGGCAGCGAGCGUUGUUCGGAUUUACUGGGCGUAAAGAGUGCGUAGGCGGUUUUCUAAGUUUGGUGUGAAAUCUCCCGGCUCAACUGGGAGGGUGCGCCGAAGACUGGAAGGCUUGAGUAUGGGAGAGGUAAGCGGAAUUCCUGGUGUAGCGGUGAAAUGCGUAGAUAUCAGGAGGAACACCUGCGGUGUAGACGGCUUACUGGACCAUAACUGACGCUGAGGCACGAAAGCGUGGGUAGCAAACAGG